AAAAACACGGGCGUUGAUGAGAAGAGCAACCUCUUUCCCUGGCAGACGUGACGGCGCCCUGCUGCUGGACACCCCCACUCCCCGAGCCACGAGGCUUUCUGCAGGGUUUGUCUGGGCCCAAAGGGACAAACCUGCUGCAGCCCAGUUAAGAGGUUUUUCCCACCUGUUUCUUUCUCAGUCUCAGUUAUAUGAAGGUUAUCUUUGGAGCUGAUCAGAAUUAGCAAAUUAGCUGAAGGGGAGAUCUCUGCUUCCCCCCCCCCCAUCACAGACCAUAAUUUGUCCUUAUUUUGUCUUUCCAUGAUGUGAAGAAGCAACACAGUGACCCGAAACAAAAAAGCUAGAUUUGUCAUAUUUUGACUCACGUAAAGAUAUGCAAAGAAUUUACGUUUAUUUUCACCUUUUCAUAGAAACCAUGAAAAAUCAGAGUUGAAAGCUGCCAACUCAACGCGCAUAAUCAUCUUCACAGUUUGCUGACCAAACACCUACAGCAGAGGACGGACUGGGAAACGUGGCUGUUUCCCAAAGCUAAUGACAUAUUUUCUGCACUUCUUUGCCAAUCCUUAGGCUUGUCGGAGCAGUAGAGGUUAUGUUGUCUUUGCAGAUUUCUAAGUUCUUAGAAAGGGAUUUUUACAAUCACGCCAGAGAUAAAAACAAAGCCUGAAACUGGCUUUAAAUGUCCUGAGAGUAAAAUACGACCGAAAACCAUUUUGCUUCCCGGCAGAUUUUUUUUACAUAAGUAAAUAUCACUAACGCCAUAAACACCCUUUGUUCAUCCCUGAUGCCAGUUCGAUCCCAUUUUACUCACCAACAUCCCAGAGCGCCAGGUGAGCAGCCGGAAUCACUAGUGCUAUCCGCCAGCAAGACAAAGCCUUGCAGGUUAACCUGCUCUCUUCCCUCUCCUCUGACCCUAAAUCAGCACUUCAUGCGUCUCCGUUACGGUUUUAUGUUUAAGACCUCGGUCACUAAAGGCUCUGACACACGUCCUCCUGCGGUGCCCCCAGGGCCAUGCGAUCACUGCGCUGCUGAACCAGCCCAGCGGCUUCACCCAGCGCGAGCGACGCGGCAGCUGUCCGCAGAGAGCAGCAAUGAGCCUGACGGCGAGCAGCAGCGGCCAAGCAGCCUCGAAGGGGCAGAUGUGAUGCUGAAGUCCCGAAGCCUUUCGCAAGCUGGUCUGUGCCCCUUUUGUGACCGCUGCCGACUCCUGUCCUGGAACCAUCCGAAUUCCAGCUUUCCUGAAAGCGGUUUCUUUCUUGGCGUGGUGGGCAGAGGGACUGAAAAAGCGAGGAGGGAAGACAGAAAGCAGGUCUGGGCUAUUAAACUGUGUCUAAACUGCUGCCAUGUCCGUUCACUGUCCCUUACCGCUGCUUUUUCCUCCCGGGUCUCCUGUGAGCCAGAGCAGGGACGCAGCGGGUAG
rnacentral:lncRNA from 1 species